rnacentral:lncRNA from 1 species
GAGGGGGCCAGGCCACAAGUCAGCAGUUGCCAAACGUAAGUCAUGGUGACGGUGGCUUUGGCCGGGAGGUGACAUCGAGGAAAGGCGGGAGUUAAAAUUUGAAUCACAAUGCAGGAGUCCGGCAGGGCAGGCGAGGUCGAUUAAAAGGAGCGAAAGAUCAGAGGCGGUAGUAAGCGAGAUGGCAGCCUUAGGCCUCGAAGGAGCUGACAUGUCUCCGUCAUCAAUUAAAGCUUCUGUAUGGCCCGGCUCAAUCGAGUCUGCGACGUGUGAGUCGUCGAACUCAGCAGUUAAUUCAUCCGAGUUUAGGCCGAGUUUGGAAGGCCGGCGGGGGUCCCCGCCAAUCCCAUGGCAUAGGGAAGGAUCGUCUCCCCCGCACGGAGAAGAGGGGUAGAGGAGGUUGGAUCGCCAGCAGCCCCCCAAGACCUGCUACGGUGGGAAGGACCACCCUGGGAGGCAGAGCGGUGUGCAGGGGCAGGAGCCCGAGGGGUGGGGGGGUCCCCGGCAAGGAGGUCAUCACGGAGGAUACGGAAGUCGUCAUGGUCUUGAAAGAAGUUGAUAUCCGAGGG